rnacentral:rRNA from 1 species
GUGGGGAAUUUUGGACAAUGGGCGCAAGCCUGAUCCAGCAAUGCCGCGUGCAGGAAGAAGGCCUUCGGGUUGUAAACUGCUUUUGUACGGAACGAAACGGUCCUGGUUAAUACCUGGGGCUAAUGACGGUACCGUAAGAAUAAGCACCGGCUAACUACGUGCCAGCAGCCGCGGUAAUACGUAGGGUGCGAGCGUUAAUCGGAAUUACUGGGCGUAAAGCGUGCGCAGGCGGUGCUGUAAGACAGGCGUGAAAUCCCCGGGCGCAACCUGGGAAUUGCGCUUGUGACUGCAGUGCUGGAGUACGGCAGAGGGGGAUGGAAUUCCGCGUGUAGCAGUGAAAUGCGUAGAUAUGCGGAGGAACACCGAUGGCGAAGGCAAUCCCCUGGGCCUGCACUGACGCUCAUGCACGAAAGCGUGGGGAGCAAACAGGAUUAGAUACCCUGGUAGUCC